AGGAUAAACGCUGGCGGCGUGCCUAACACAUGCAAGUCGAACGCGCUUUCGGGCUUCGGUGCGAGAGCGAGUGGCGGACGGGUGAGUAACACAUGGGUACCUACCUUGGAGUGAGGGAUACCGGCGAGAAAUCGCCGACAAUACCGCAUAGGCUUCUUCACAAGGGAAGCAAAGUGACGCGAGUCACGCUUUGAGAUGGGCCUGUGGCCGAUUAGCUAGUUGGGGGGUAACGGCUUCCCAAGGCGACGAUCGGUAGCUGGUCUGAGAGGACGAUCAGCCACACUGGGAUUGAGAACGGCCCAGACUCCUACGGGGGGCAGCAGUGAGGAAUUUUCCGCAAUGGGCGAAAGCCUGACGGAGCGACGCCGCGUGUGGGAAGAAGGCCUUCGGGUCGUAAACCACUGUCGAAGGGGACGAUAAUGACGGUACCCUUGGAGGAAGCCCCGGCUAACUACGUGCCAGCAGCCGC
rnacentral:rRNA from 1 species